GGUCUACAAUGCAGUCGACGGCAGCGCGGAGGAGCUUGCUCCUCUGGCGGCGAGUGGCGAACGGGUGAGUAAUACAUCGGAAUCUACCCAGUUGUGGGGGAUAACUUGGGGAAACCCAAGCUAAUACCGCAUACGACCUUCGGGUGAAAGCAGGGGAUCUUCGGACCUUGCGCGAUUGGAUGAGCCGAUGUCGGAUUAGCUAGUUGGCGGGGUAAAGGCCCACCAAGGCGACGAUCCGUAGCUGGUCUGAAAGGAUGAUCAGCCACACUGGAACUGAGACACGGUCCAGACUCCUACGGGAGGCAGCAGUGGGGAAUAUUGGACAAUGGGCGCAAGCCUGAUCCAGCCAUGCCGCGUGGGUGAAGAAGGCCUUCGGGUUGUAAAGCCCUUUUGUUGGGAAAGAAAAGCAAUCGGCUAAUACCCGGUUGUUCUGACGGUACCCAAAGAAUAAGCACCGGCUAACUUCGUGCCAGCAGCCGCGGUAAUACGAAGGGUGCAAGCGUUACUCGGAAUUACUGGGCGUAAAGCGUGCGUAGGUGGUUCGUUAAGUCUGAUGUGAAAGCCCUGGGCUCAACCUGGGAAUUGCAUUGGAUACUGGCGGGCUAGAGUACGGUAGAGGGUGGCGGAAUUCCCGGUGUAGCAGUGAAAUGCGUAGAGAUCGGGAGGAACAUCCGUGGCGAAGGCGGCCACCUGGACCAGUACUGACACUGAGGCACGAAAGCGUGGGGAGCAAACAGGAUUAGAUACCCUGGUAGUCCACGCCCUAAACGAUGCGAACUGGAUGUUGGGUGCAACUAGGCACUCAGUAUCGAAGCUAACGCGUUAAGUUCGC
rnacentral:rRNA from 1 species